CGGCCCCGGGGUGGUUGCGCCCCCCCCCCCCCCGCCCUGCGAGCGGGAAGGUGCGCCCUGGUCUCCGGCGCCUGGCCCCUCCGCGGGGCCGGGGGCAGAGAGGACAGGGCUGAGGAACGGGGAGCAGUCUGGCUCUGCGUGUUGGGGACGCGCGCUGGGAGCGCGAGCGGUGACGGCAUCCGGAGAAUGCCUGUGUCAGGCGCUGUGUGUGCCCAGACGUCUCCCAGCCCGUGUGUCGUCAGCGUGUUUUACAAGCCCUCGGGAAGAUCACCCAGAAGUCUCUCGGCGUCCCCCAGGCGAGCCCCCACCCCCACCCCCCGACCGACGGACCCCCCGGGAACACGAGGACGGCGCUGGAUGGCUUUUAAGCCCCCGUCUCCAGGGAGCCUGAGCACACUGGGGGAGUAACCGCCGCGUGC
rnacentral:lncRNA from 1 species